rnacentral:tRNA from 1 species
UCCUCGUUAGUAUAGUGGACAGUAUCUCCGCCUGUCACGCGGAAGACCGGGGUUCGAUUCCCCGACGGGGGA